rnacentral:rRNA from 1 species
CGACGAGCGGCGGACGGGUGAGUAAUGUCUGGGAAACUGCCUGAUGGAGGGGAUAACUACUGGAAACGGUGGCUAAUACCGCAUGAUGUCGCGAGACCAAAGUGGGGGACCUUAGGGCCUCACGCCAUCGGAUGUGCCCCAGAUGGGAUUAGCUAGUAGGUGAGGUAAUGGCUCACCUAGGCUCCGAUCUCUAGCUGGUCUGAGAGGAUGACCAGCCACACUGGGACUGAGACACGGCCCAG